CUUCGGUAUGAUUAUACUGAAGAGCUGCGGACAAUUACGUAAGUAAUUACGUAAGUGGUGACAACGAAACCGGUCUUUGAUUAAUCUUUAUAUUUUGUAUCUUUUAGUGGUCAGACCAUAGGUGGUCCAUCUCUAGCAAAAUGAACGUCCACUUAGUGGUCAUCCCUCUUAUAUGUAUAUAUACAUAUAUAUCUAUAGGAGAAUUUACGAAAAAAAAAACAACACACGAAGACAAGUGGUGUAAACAACAAAUGGAUGUAUUAGUUUAACGCUUGGGAAUAGAGAAAGUCUUUGAAGUUUCGAGCCUAUGCUCUUCAACUGAAAGGAACACAAAGAAACAAGGAGAAAAACAAGGAGAAAAAAUAUAAAUAGCAGUGAGCUAAAGCUUAUCGCUGUCUGAAGACGAAAUGUCCAGAAAGAAGAGAUUUCGAUAUUGGACAGCAAAUAUCAAAAACACUUCCUCUUAGUAAAAGCAGAACACAUUUUGUUCUCAGUAUUUCAUAUGAAACUUGGUCUGAUGAAGAUCACGUCAUUUUUAUAAGAUACGUGUGAAAAAUUUCCUGGUCCAAAGCCAUAGAAAUUGAAGAAAGAUGUUUUUGCUGGGCCGAAAAUGAGAAUAUUAAAGAGAGAUUAACUUUUAAA